GACGAACGCUGGCGGCGUGCUUAACACAUGCAAGUCGAACGGAAAGGUCCUGCUUUUGUGGGCUGCUCGAGUGGCGAACGGGUGAGUUACCCGUGAGUAACCUGCACUUGACAGUGGGAUAACUUCAGGCAACUGGGGCUCAUACCGGCUAGGAGCUCUUGCUGAAUGGUGGGGGCUGGAAAGUUUAGGCGGUUGGGGAUGGACUCGCGGCCGAUCAGCUUGAUGGUGUGGUAGUGGCUUACCAAGGCCUUGCCCGGUAGCCGGCCUGCGAGGGUCACCGGACACGUCGGGACGGAGAUACGGCACAGACUCGUACGCGAGGGAGCGGUGGAGUAGGUUACACAAUGGGCGGAAGCCAGAUGCAGCAACGCCGCGUGCGGGAUGACGUCCAUCGGGUUGUAAUGCGAUUUCGCCUGUGACGAGGCGAGAGUGACGGUAAUGGGUAAAGAAGCACCGGCUAACUACGUG
rnacentral:rRNA from 1 species